AGUGAACGCUGGCGGUAGGCCUAACACAUGCAAGUCGAACGGCAGCACAGUAAGAGCUUGCUCUUACGGGUGGCGAGUGGCGGACGGGUGAGGAAUACAUCGGAAUCUACUUUUUCGUGGGGGAUAACGUAGGGAAACUUACGCUAAUACCGCAUACGACCUACGGGUGAAAGCAGGGGAUCUUCGGACCUUGCGCGAUUGAAUGAGCCGAUGUCGGAUUAGCUAGUUGGCGGGGUAAAGGCCCACCAAGGCGACGAUCCGUAGCUGGUCUGAGAGGAUGAUCGGCCAACCUGGAACUGAGACACGGUCCAGGCCCCCAGGGGGGGGAGGAGGGGGGAAUUUUGAAAAAGGGGGGCAAGCCUGACCCAGCCAUCCCGGGGGGGGGAAGAAGGCCUUGGGGUGUAAAACCCCUUUUUUUGGGAAAAAAAAGCAGCAGGUUAAACCCCCGGUGUUCUGACGGUACCAAAAAAAUAAGCACCGGCUAACUUCGU
rnacentral:rRNA from 1 species